rnacentral:lncRNA from 1 species
AUGACAAGCCUCUGACUCCCCAAAAUGCAGAGGAAAGUCCAAUUGGUGAAGAAUCAAAUGACACCAAACAGAAAUUGCGCUUGCCAAAUAAGAAAAAACCUCCGAGUAGAGUUGCAAAGAAGGGAAACGAAAAGCGUUCUGGAGUCCAUCAAGGUGUGAAUGUUGCACGUACAUUGGUUCUGGGUGAGGCACAACAAUCUCAAGAUGCUGACGACGAUGAAGAGCGAGCAAGUGAAUCAGAACCUCAUGACGAGGACGAAGAAUUGAUUGCAGGUGCUUCAAACAAUCCAGAUGAAAAUGUAGAACAACCUGAUGCAGAUGAGCAAGAUGCAGAGGAGCGCGAGGACAAGCCUCUGACUCCCCAAAAUGCAGAGGAAAUUCCAAUUGGUGAAGAAUCAAAUGACACCAAACAGAAAUUGCGCUUGCCAAAUAAGAAAAAACCCCCGAGUAGAGUUGCAAAGAAGGGAAACGAAAAGCGUUCUGGAGUCCGUCAAGGUGUGAAUGUUGCACGUACAUUGGUUCUGGGUGAGGCACAACAAUCUCAAGAUGCUGAAGACGAUGAAGAGCGAGCAAGUGAAUCAGAAC